rnacentral:rRNA from 1 species
GAUGAACGCUGGCGGCGUGCUUAACACAUGCAAGUCGAACGAUGAAGCCCAGCUUGCUGGGUGGAUUAGUGGCGAACGGGUGAGUAACACGUGAGUAACCUGCCCUUAACUCUGGGAUAAGCCUGGGAAACGGGGCCUAAUACCGGAUAGGAGCGUCCACCGCAUGGGGGGUGUUGGAAAGAUUUAUCGGUUUUGGAUGGACUCGCGGCCUAUCAGCUUGUUGGGGAGGUAAUGGUUCACCAAGGCGACGACGGGUAGCCGGCCUGAGAGGGUGACCGGCCACACUGGGACUGAGACACGGCCCAGACUCCUACGGGAGGCAGCAGUGGGGAAUAUUGCACAAUGGGCGCAAGCCUGAUGCAGCGACGCCGCGUGUGGGAUGACGGCCUUCGGGUUGUAAACCUCUUUCAGUAGGGAAGAAGCGAAAGUGACGGUACCUGCAGAAGAAGCACCGGCUAACUACGUG